AUUUGGAAAUGGUCUAUUUAAAGAAGUAAUUAAAGUUAAAUGAGGUCAUAAGGGUAGAACCCUAAUCCAACAGGAUUUGUG